rnacentral:rRNA from 1 species
GGAUUAGAUACCCGGGUAGUCCACGCCGUAAACGGUGGGUGCUAGGUGUGGGGGGUGUCGACUCCCCCCGUGCCGCAGCUAACGCAUUAAGUGCCCCGCCUGGGGAGUACGGCCGCAAGGCUAAAACUCAAAGGAAUUGACGGGGGUCCGCACAAGCAGCGGAGCAUGUGGUUUAAUUCGACGCAACGCGAAGAACCUUACCUGGGCUUGACAUGUCCGUGACCGGCGUGGAAACACGCCUUCCCUUCGGGGCACGGUCACAGGUGGUGCAUGGCUGUCGUCAGCUCGUGCCGUGAGGUGUUGGGUUAAGUCCCGCAACGAGCGCAACCCCCAUCACUAGUUGCCAUCAGGUAACGCUGGGAACUCUAGUGAAACUGCCGUCGUAAGACGCGAG